rnacentral:tRNA from 1 species
GCUCGGGCUCGGGCACGGGCUCCGGGACCGCCGGCUCCGGUCCGGUCACCUCGCGCCAGAGUGCGGGGCCGCCGUCCGCAUCGGCGUCCUCGCCC